CGUCUAUAUACGUAUAGCAUAUCAAUAAGCGGAGGAAAAGAAACUAACAAGGAUUCCCUUAGUAACGGUGAGUGAAGCGGGAAGAGCUCAAAUUUGAAAUCUUCAAGGUUUUACCUUGACGAAUUGUAGUUUAAAGAAGUGUUUUCUGUUGAAGUUUCGGUAAAAGUUCUUUGGAAUAGGGACAUCAUAGAGGGUGAGAAUCCCGUAUUUGACCAUUAUUUCCAGCUUUGUGAUACACUUUCAAAGAGUCGGAUUGUUUGGGAAUGCAGUCCAAAAUGGGUGGUAAAUUUCAUCUAAAGCUAAAUACUGGCGAGAGACCGAUAGCGAACAAGUACCGUGAGGGAAAGAUGAAAAGAACUUUGAAAAGAGAGUUAAACAGUACGUGAAAUUGUCAAAAGGGAAGCGUUUGACACCAGUGUUGUUUUCUCGAAAAUCAAUUAAAAAUGGCGGGAUUUUGUGUUGUAUUGACUUUAUCAGUUUUCUGCACUUUUUUCUUGUCUUUUUUAAUGCACUUUUCGUUUAACAAGUCAACAUCAAUUUCUUUUGUUGUAAAAGGGUCAUUGGAAGGUGGCUUUCUUUUCGGAGAAAGUGUUUAUAGCCUUUGACUUCUACAAUCGGAGAGAUUGAGGUCUGCAGCGUAGAUCCUUCGGGGUUAGAUACAUUUGUGCUAAGUUAUAGCCUUUCAUAGACAACUUGUUGACUAUGAUCAGUCAUGUAGCUUACUCGCUUAUGUUAUUUUACCUACGCUUAGGAUGUUGACGAUCAGCUGAGCGCG
rnacentral:rRNA from 1 species